rnacentral:rRNA from 1 species
UAACAUCCGGAAACGGGUGCUAAUACCGCAUAGUUUCUUGAUCGCAUGAUUGAGAAAGGAAAGACGGCCUUUGUGCUGUCGCUUAUGGAUGGACCCGCGGCGUAUUAGUUAGUUGGUGAGGUAACGGCUCACCAAGACGAUGGAUACGUAGCCGACCCGAGAGGGUGAUCGGCCACAUUGGGACUGAGACACGGCCCAAACUCCUACGGGAGGCAGCAGUAGGGAAUCUUCCGCAAUGGACGAAAGUCUGACGGAGCAACGCCGCGUGAGUGAAGAAGGGUUUUUUCCGGAUCGUAAAACUCUGUUGUCAGAGAAGAACAAGUUGGAGAGUAACUGCUCCAGCCUUGACGGUAUCUGACCAGAAAGCCACGGCUAACUACGUGCCAGCAGCUGC